rnacentral:rRNA from 1 species
GCAAGUCGAGCGAACGGACGAGAAGCUUGCUUCUCUGAUGUUAGCGGCGGACGGGUGAGUAACACGUGGAUAACCUACCUAUAAGACUGGGAUAACUUCGGGAAACCGGAGCUAAUACCGGAUAAUAUUUUGAACCGCAUGGUUCAAAAGUGAAAGACGGUCUUGCUGUCACUUAUAGAUGGAUCCGCGCUGCAUUAGCUAGUUGGUAAGGUAACGGCUUACCAAGGCAACGAUGCAUAGCCGACCUGAGAGGGUGAUCGGCCACACUGGAACUGAGACACGGUCCAGACUCCUACGGGAGGCAGCAGUAGGGAAUCUUCCGCAAUGGGCGAAAGCCUGACGGAGCAACGCCGCGUGAGUGAUGAAGGUCUUCGGAUCGUAAAACUCUGUUAUUAGGGAAGAACAUAUGUGUAAGUAACUGUGCACAUCUUGACGGUACCUAAUCAGAAAGCCACGGCUAACUACGUGCCAGCAGCCGCGGUAAUACGUAGGUGGCAAGCGUUAUCCGGAAUUAUUGGGCGUAAAGCGCGCGUAGGCGGUUUUUUAAGUCUGAUGUGAAAGCCCACGGCUCAACCGUGGAGGGUCAUUGGAAACUGGAAAACUUGAGUGCAGAAGAGGAAAGUGGAAUUCCAUGUGUAGCGGUGAAAUGCGCAGAGAUAUGGAGGAACACCAGUGGCGAAGGCGACUUUCUGGUCUGUAACUGACGCUGAUGUGCGAAAGCGUGGGGAUCAAACAGGAUUAGAUACCCUGGUAGUCCACGCCGUAAACGAUGAGUGCUAAGUGUUAGGGGGUUUCCGCCCCUUAGUGCUGCAGCUAACGCAUUAAGCACUCCGCCUGGGGAGUACGACCGCAAGGUUGAAACUCAAAGGAAUUGACGGGGACCCGCACAAGCGGUGGAGCAUGUGGUUUAAUUCGAAGCAACGCGAAGAACCUUACCAAAUCUUGACAUCCUUUGACAACUCUAGAGAUAGAGCCUUCCCCUUCGGGGGACAAAGUGACAGGUGGUGCAUGGUUGUCGUCAGCUCGUGUCGUGAGAUGUUGGGUUAAGUCCCGCAACGAGCGCAACCCUUAAGCUUAGUUGCCAUCAUUAAGUUGGGCACUCUAAGUUGACUGCCGGUGACAAACCGGAGGAAGGUGGGGAUGACGUCAAAUCAUCAUGCCCCUUAUGAUUUGGGCUACACACGUGCUACAAUGGACAAUACAAAGGGCAGCGAAACCGCGAGGUCAAGCAAAUCCCAUAAAGUUGUUCUCAGUUCGGAUUGUAGUCUGCAACUCGACUACAUGAAGCUGGAAUCGCUAGUAAUCGUAGAUCAGCAUGCUACGGUGAAUACGUUCCCGGGUCUUGUACACACCGCCCGUCACACCACGAGAGUUUGUAACACCCGAAGCCGGUGGAGUAACCUUUUAGGAGCUAGCCGUCGAAGGUGGGACA